GGCUGUAGUUCAUUAUCGAGUUUAAGGAAGCUUGGGUGAGAAGGAAUUAUAUACACUACGUGGAUUGUGGUGUUGGAAGUAAUUGUUUAAGCAUAGAUUUUAAAUAAUUUCAUUGAAAUUUGAUAUCGAAUCUCCAAUUGAUCGAGAAUAAGGAGGAAAUGAGAUGGAUACGUAAGUUGUAGCAGAAGCAUAUUGCAGAAGAAAUUAACAUCUGAGUGAAGAAGAAGAUUUGACAAUGUGUUUAUGUUUAGUUAAUGUUUUAUUUAUUUAUUUUGUAACUCUUUUAGUCUUGGGUUUUGAGUUUUAAGUGUUGGGAUUGACUUUGGAAAUAAUUUUCAUGCACAAUUAUUAUAAGCAAUAUAGUUGGAGUAUCUUUUAUUUCGUGAGAGAGAUUAUGUGAAUGUAAUGAAAAUUUUAAUUUGUAUAU